UGAACGGAAGUAAACAGAGCAAAGGUUAGAGUAUAUAAACCUUCAAGCUAUAAGCAGUUGCUACAAACAGAAAGUCCUGUGACAUUAUCCUGUAAGCAAUGAAAAUAGGAUAAAGUAAGCCUGGCCAAGAGCUACCCAUAGGCCUCUAGGUCAAGGGUGACUAAGCAAAAGACACCCAUAAUAUGACUGCAAAUGAAGCGUCUACAAACAGAAAAGUUUGCAAAUAUUAACUAGCAAGUGUGUCACGUUUUCUCAGGCAAGGUGACAGAUACCAUCACAAGAAAAAAAGAAGCAUGUUCUUCAGAAG
rnacentral:lncRNA from 1 species